rnacentral:tRNA from 1 species
GACGAGGUAGCUCAACCGGCAGAGCAAUGGACUCAUAAGCCAUUGGUUGAGGGUUCGAGUCCCUCCCUCGUCA